CCAAAACAUUUAGGCUUACUGAGGCCCAAAUUGUGUUCCCAAGCAAAUUAUACCAUGAAUCAGGGGAAAUAUAAAAUAUGUUUGCAUAUUGGUCC